CAAGUCUCUGGACAGCAGGUGAUGGAGUGGUGAGGGAGAGCGAGGAGCAGAAUCCUCACCAGGAAGAUGCUGAGCUCGCCAAAGUGCAUGGGGAAUUACUGCGAAGAUCCAAAGGGAAUGUGUCUAGCCCCAGUGAGCAGGGAAAAGCUGGUGAAAGUUACCACAGACCAGAGAGAGAGCAGGGAAACCACUCAGAGGAGAGAGUGGAUGAACCCAUUAAUUGUCAGGAAACUCACAGGAACCUCAAGGAAACUACAUCUCAGGAGAAAAUCCUUAGGGAAAAGUGAGAGAAUACAUGUAGUGAGUGUGGGAAAAACUUCAAUUACCGCUCAGUCCUUAUUCGACAUGAGAUAAUCCACACGAAAGAGAGACCCUUUGAAUGCUGUGAGUGUGGGAAAAGCUUCAAUCAUCCCUCAGCCCUUAGUAGGCAUCAGCUAAUACACAGAGGAGAGAGACCCUAUGAAUGCUGUGAGUGCAGGAAAAGUUUAACUCAGAGAUAUACCCUUCACUCUCAUUAGACAAUGCACAUGGGAGAGCGACCCUACAAAUGUUGUGAGUGUGGGAAAAGCUUCUCUCGGAGCUCAAACCUUACUAUGCAUCAGAGGAUCCACACAGGAGAAUGACCCUGAAAGAG